rnacentral:rRNA from 1 species
GACGAACGCUGGCUGCGUGCUUAACACAUGCAAGUCGAACGCUGAAGCCUGGUGCUUGCACCGGGUGGAUGAGUGGCGAACGGGUGAGUAACACGUGAGUAACCUGCCCCUGACUUCGGGAUAAGCCCGGGAAACUGGGUCUAAUACCGGAUACGACUGCCGGACGCAUGUCUGGUGGUGGAAAGUUUUUUCGGUUGGGGAUGGGCUCGCGGCCUAUCAGUUUGUUGGUGAGGUAAUGGCUCACCAAGACGACGACGGGUAGCCGGCCUGAGAGGGCGACCGGCCACACUGGGACUGAGACACGGCCCAGACUCCUACGGGAGGCAGCAGUGGGGAAUAUUGCACAAUGGGGGAAACCCUGAUGCAGCGACGCAGCGUGCGGGAUGACGGCCUUCGGGUUGUAAACCGCUUUCAGCAGGGAAGAAGCGCAAGUGACGGUAC